UCCCCAGUGGCUCAGAUGGUAAAGCAUCUGCCUACAAUGCAGGAGACCUGGGUUCGAUCCCUGGGUUGGGAA
rnacentral:tRNA from 1 species